UACGCGAACCCCAAGCGUUAUCCGGAAUCAUUGGGCGUAAAGGGUGUGUAGGCGUCCCGCCCUGUUUCCCGUCAAAUCCCAGAGCUUAACUCUGGUACGGCGAGAAAUACAGGCGGGAUUGAGGAUGCGAGAGGUGUACGGAACCCAUGGUGUAGAGGUGAAAUUCGUUGAUAUCAUGGGGAACGCCAAAGGCGAAGGCAGUACACUGGCGCAUUCCUGACGCUGAGACACGAAAGCCAGGGUAGCGAACGGG
rnacentral:misc_RNA from 1 species